rnacentral:lncRNA from 1 species
UGAUGGGACCUUUCCUCUCACCUCCCUAAAUGAUACCUCCCCUAACCAGUUCUAAGAGUUGUGUAACAUUGCCCUGGAAACCUUAUGCUUUCAUUUUUAUGCUUCUGUAUUGUUGCCUAUGCCACUCAGUCAUCAAAACCAAAACAAUCUCACCCCAGGAAGAAGGUAAUUAUAGCCACCCUCCAAGGGCACCAGCUAUUCAGCAGCCCUGGCUUAGCACCUCUCCCGGAUGUGCUGAGGCGAUGGUUACUACCCCCUUAACAGUGUUCCUUGGUGCAGGCCUCUUUGGCACAAGUCAACCAGCGCUGAGUGAGCCCCUUUCCACAUCUGCCCUUUAUGAGAUAACCUUGGUAAGAAGAUGGAAUACAAAAAUGCUUGCUAGUAGCCCAGGCUGGCCUUGAACUGAGCCUUCUACUUCAGCUACCCGAAUGCUGGGCUUAUAAGGAUGUACUUCUACCAAGCCUAGUUGAAAAGACUCCACGAGGAUGUCACUAAAAAGAACAUAUAACGUUUCUCCUCCCCCUUACCCCCCACUCGGUAGCUCCAACUUUGGGCUUACUGCCAAAACUAGGUGGAGAAUUUCAGUUACAAACAUGUUCCUCUCCAGCUGGCCUUUUUUUAACUUUUGGAUAUUCCUAUGCAGUCCAAGUUGCCACCCUCUGCCUGAGCCUCCUGAAGGCUGAUGCUACAGGUGUACACUCCCAUACCUGUCCUACUGGCUUGACUUGAUCUUAAAGACUACCUAAACCUAAUUUGGAGCAUAUUUAAGCCCAAACUUCUGAGAAAGGCUCAAGAUAAGAUUAAACCCAAGAGAAUUUUAUUUAAGUAGUAUGUGACAAAUAUCUAAGAAAACUAUUUCUUUACACUGCUCUUGUACUCCUUUCACUGUGUACGUUCUUAUAACUUUGUUUGUUCUUAGCUCUGGGCCCUGCAGAAACACCACGGUGGACGGAGGCAUAGUUUUGUUCUGCCCUCAACAGGUCAGAAGUUGUUGAUCUUUUGUAGCAGGGUUUGGCGCCGCUCCUCAGGGCUAAUGUUCUUGGCGAUAGACUUUAAGAAGCGCUGCUCGUCUACCUUCUGGAGCAAGGAGCUGACAGAAGGGUUGCUUUUGCUUAGAGUCUCGUAGCAGGGACCCACCGACUGCAUCAACCUGACUGCAUCCAGGACACUGGUCAGACUGUUACAGAGGAGUUUGACCACAUGGCUCCAACCGUCCAAAGGAAGCCAGUUACAACAGCUCUGGCUGCAGAGAAACUGGAACACUCUCAAAGAAAGAACAGAGAGCUGAAGUUCCUGGGCAAAAGGCUUCAGGUUGAGCAGGGGAACAAACUGAAUAUACUCUAGACUGUAAGGGACAUGAAGAAGCUGUUUCUCCAAUAGCUUCCUGGUCAGCUGCUGAAGGUACUGCCAUUCCUGGGGGCUACACCAAGGCAUGACUUGUACCAGGGCCACCAGAAAGCCCUUGCUAAACAGUCUGACCUCCUCAGGAUUGCCCACAUCCAUCACCAGAAGGGAAAGCAUCUGGUCAGAGAUACUGCUGGAGACUGAACAGCACUCCAUCCAGGCGAGAAGGCCCGUGCCAGGCCCAUACCCUUCGUGGACCUGUGAGGUCCACUGGGCCUCAGAGAGCUUACAGAUAUCAAAAAGGGUAGCUGGCACCUCACACUUGAAGUGGCCUUCAAAGAAGUUCUUUAGUCUCAGGCCCACAGUCCAAUCUAGCUGGUCUAAUUUGCGGUGGAGCCAGGACAGGGACUUGGCCCAGGUGUCUGGGGAGAAGGUUUCUGUGUUGGCUAGCACGAUCUCACAGAGGAGUUCCAGAAUGUGGGUCACAAGAUCCUUGCUGUCCAGCGUGAGGUAGCGCUUCUCCCGGGGGAGCUGCCAGAACUUGCUGAAGCUGUCCAGGAGCUGGCACAGGCUGAAGAGCAGAGGGAAUGGGGAGCAGGUCUGCAGCCAAUACUCUUCCAGGCCUGCAUUGGCUUCGAGGGUCUGGAUGAAGAGCUUCAGACUCAGGCCCACCUCCUCCAUGUCCAACAUCAAGAAAGGCAGGACAAACUCCUUGAGCACCUCAUCUGGCUCCAGAAGAGCAGCCACUGGAAUCCCCUGUGGCUUCACAGGAUUCGUCAGGCAGCUUACCAGCUCCAGAAACUGCUUCUCUUCUUUGGGUGUGGAGAACUUGGUCCAGACAGUUUCUUUGAGGCAAGACACCAUGAAACUGGUACAUGGAUUUGCCCCUUGUUCUUCCGUGAACUUCAGAGCAGGGAAGGCAGUGAGAAUCUGAGCCAAGAACCUAUGUGUGCCAAGAUUGGUCACAGCUAGGCUACACAUCUUCUUCACCACAACUUCUGGGUUCAGGAUCACCAGGUGGGCCACGGAGGCCACAGCUUUAGCCAGGCCCUGUUCAGAGGUACUCUGUGCGAGCUGGUUAAACGUCGUGUUGAGGUCUUCCUGAAAACCCUCCAAGUAAUCAGACAACCUGUCUGAGAGACCCUUUGGCCCCAAAUAAUGCAGGACACCAGAAAGAACUUUAUUUUUGUCUGGAAGAGAGAGGUCUUCAUAGCAUUCCAGGGUCAAGCAGAUUACCUGCUUGAUCUGAGGCUGGGGGAUAACCCGAUCAGAGCUGAUGACUUCCAUCACUGUUUCUAGCAGACUCAAGACCAAGUCUGGUUCUCUGAAGAGAGACCUGUUGUUAACCAGGCAGGCAACCCACUCGUCUGAAAAGGCCCACUUCUUCUCAGAAGCAAAAAUGUAGCACAUUUCCAUGUGCCGGUCCAUCUUCUGCUCAAUGAUGGCCAUGGCAAUGGAGGCAGUGAUGUCCUCAAGGCCCUUGUCAUUCAGCAUUCUGCUGGUUUUCCUCAGGAAGUCCCUGACACACUCAGCCAAUUCUGAGACCACCUCCCUCUCCUCCUUGGGCAUGUUGGUAGUAUCCAGGUAGAGCUCCAAGUUCUGGCUGAAGGAAGUCAGGCUGUCACACAGCCGGUAAGUGUCAUAAUUUGUUCCCUGACUGCUGUUGAGCAUGUCCUGCAGUUCUGCACCCCACUCUUGCAGCAGGUUGUACAUAAGCUCAAACCCCAUGAAAACAGUCUCGCUGGGGAGUUUGGCCAGUGAGGUGAGACUCACAUCUCGCUCUGCCUCCUUUACCUUGUCUGCCAGGGCCUGUCGAUGGUAUGGGUUCUGGGUGUCCGAGUUCCACACAGAGAUCACUGUAGCUAGUUUGUCUAGGUACACGGUGGCCGACACCUCCUGGGUGUCAUCCUCCAGAAGUGCAAACACACUCAGCAUGUCAGCCAAGUUAGCUAAGGCACAGCACUUCAUUCCAAGGGACAGGAUUCUCUUUUGGAUCUGCUUCAGCCCGUUAAGCAACAUGGCCAAAAGAGGCAUGGUGGGACCCACAUCUGGGUCAGACUUAAACCUCUUUGGAGGAUGGGAAAACUCAUCUGAGGAUGGCAAGUAUUUAUGGGCCAUCGUCCUGAACUGGGAAAGCAAGGGGUCCUGCUGGUCGCCCUUGUGCUUCAUCAUUUCCCACCAGACAUCUAAGAAGAAGGCCACAUCCUUGGAAGAUGUGUCAACAGUCAUGUGCUCCAGGAAGCUCUGUAGUUCUGAGCGGCCAAUGGUGGUAGGCAAGGCCAUUAGCAGCUGAAUGAAGAGUCCAGAAGCUUCCAGAGACUUGAGCAGCUCAAAAAGGACUGUGUGGUUGAUGGUAGGGAUCAUGUUGCCCACGGAGAAGAAUACAUCUUCCUGCCACCGAGUAUCAGUGUCAGAAGGGCUGACAGGGGAGGGCUGAAGAACCUUGGUCCAGAUGAUGAUCAGUGCUUUCUUCUUCCAGGCAAAGGGCUGGGAAUGUGCUGUGGCUGAGGAGAUCUCCUUCAAGGCCUCCACAAUGGGCUGUCCCACGUGUUCCCAAUCAGACUUGGUCAACUGUACCAGGGCUUUGGGGUGGAACAGCUGCUCAGCCAUCAAGAAGCCCCCAUGCAGAAUAGUCAUCUCCUCACAGAUAUUCAAGGGUCCUGCACAGAGAAGCCAAGAGGUAAUGAAGUCAUCAGAUUAGCGAGAAGCUAGGAGAAGGAAACAGCCAUCGGAUGGCUAUCAUUUCGGCUACGGUCUUGACAUCAAUGGGAGGGGAAGGCAUGGUUAGUAAGAGCUCACAAAGGGCUGGGGUCAAAAGGUCUUGGCCGAGGAACAAAAAACCAGUUUCUAAGAUCUUUGGCCUGGAUAUCAGGACAAUGGCACCUCUGGAAAUAGGAGGCAGAGAGGGAUUCAGAACAGGCUUUCAAGUGUUUACAAAAUUCUAUUUUAAUAAUGUGUUUGUAUCUGUGGGGGUUUGUGCAUAUGAAUGCAGCUUCCACAGAGGCCAGAAGAGGAUGCUGGGUCCUCUGGAGCUGGACUGAGCCUACUGGUGUGGUUGCUGAGAACUAAACUCUGGACUUCUACAAGAAACAUAUGUGCUCUUAACUACAGAGUCAUCGCUCGUGGCCCCUCAGGACAAGCUUUAAGGGAAGACAAGUUCAGUGCUGUUACCUAGAGUCUGAGGUAGAACAUUUAGUGAUGUCCUUCAGCAAUGGCAAUGCGUGAAGGAGAAAAGGCCUGAUGUGAGUGUAGGCAGUACCAACUCGGAGAAGUGCAUGAAAAUCAAGGAAGUGACUAAGAUUCCUCAGCAAAGUGUGAAGAGGACAACUGGACUGCUGAGGUUACAGUGAGUAGAGGAUAGGGGACAGUGCUACCACAUAUGCAUUAAAGACAUGACAGAGGCCAGCAGCAUGGCUCAUGAUUAAAGAUAUCUGCCACCAAGCUUGAUGACCUGAGUUUGAGCCCUAGAACUGAUAUGGUAACCUCUACAAGCUGUCUUCUGACUGACACUUGUGCACCGUGGUAUCCACACAUACACACCAAGAAUGUAAUUAAAAAACAAACAAACAAAAAACCUAAACAAAACUGAGUCCAGUGAUGGCAGACUAUGGAAGAUACAAUAGGUAGUCUUUGGGGGAUGGGAGGUGCUUAUUGUCUUAGUGUUUUUGGUUGUUUCUGAGACAGGGUCUCAUUAUGAACUGGAUAGCUUUGAACUCAGAUCUGUCUGCCUCUACAUCCUGAGUGCUGAGAUCAAAAGCCUGUGCCACCACACUCAGUUAAGCCUGUUUUUGAACUCAGAGCCUUGCAUGUAACAGGCAAGCACUCUACCACUGAGCUGUAUCCGGAGCCCUGCCUUCCUUCUUUCUAAGCACACUCCUGCUUCAACAAGUUUCAACAUUCUGUGCCUUACAGGGAAAAAGUUCACCCAGCAGUUUCUUCCAGUCAAAAAGGACAAGCUGGUGAAGGUUCUGGCUCUGUGGUAGGAACCAGGAAGUGGACAAAACAAAUAUUACAUCAAGACAGCGGUCAC